rnacentral:rRNA from 1 species
UACGUAGGUGGCUAGCGUUGUCCGGAUUUACUGGGCGUAAAGCGCGCGCAGGCGGUCGUUCAAGUCGAGUGUGAAAGCCCCCGGCUCAACUGGGGAGGGUCACUCGAUACUGGUCGACUUGAAGGCAGAAGAGGGAAGCGGAAUUCCCGGUGUAGUGGUGAAAUGCGUAGAUAUCGGGAGGAACACCAGUGGCGAAGGCGGCUUUCUGGUCUGUUCUUGACGCUGAGGCGCGAAAGCUAGGGUAGCAAACGGG